AGUGAACGCUGGCGGUAGGCCUAACACAUGCAAGUCGAACGGCAGCACAGUAAGAGCUUGCUCUUACGGGUGGCGAGUGGCGGACGGGUGAGGAAUACAUCGGAAUCUACUUUUUCGUGGGGGAUAACGUAGGGAAACUUACGCUAAUACCGCAUACGACCUACGGGUGAAAGCAGGGGAUCUUCGGACCUUGCGCGAUUGAAUGAGCCGAUGUCGGAUUAGCUAGUUGGCGGGGUAAAGGCCCACCAAGGCGACGAUCCGUAGCUGGUCUGAGAGGAUGAUCAGCCACACUGGAACUGAGACACGGUCCAGACUCCUACGGGAGGCAAGAGUGGGGAAUAUUGGACAAGGGGCGAAAGCCUGGUCCAGCCACACCGCGUGGGUGAAGAAGCUCUUCGGGUUGAAAAGCCCUUUUGUUGGGAAAAAAAAGCAGCAGGUUAAUACCCCGCUGUUCUGACGGUACCCAAAGAAUAAGCACCGGCACACUUCG
rnacentral:rRNA from 1 species